AUGAAUAAUCGAACAACAGUUGUUAUUGAAUGGGAUGAAUUUCCUAAGGGAAAAAGUCCUGAAUUUUAUUUUUUAAAAUACCAACUUGUUAAUAAUUUUGCUGAAAAAACUAUCAAAAGCAUUUUUAUAAACUCACAAGAGCUUUCAAAAGCAAUAACAAUAGAAGAAAAUGAAGACUAUCACAUUAUUCUACAGUCCAUAAAAUAUGGACAAAUUUUAAGUGAAAAGUCAUUUAAAACCCGUGGUUUCUCAACUAGCAAUAUUAAAACAGUAGCAACAAGCACGAGUGUUUCUUUUAACUGGAGUGUGCUGUCUUCCAAUGACAUUUCAGUGUCAAUAUCUCUCAAUAACUCUUUACAAGUUAUGCAAAAUAAUGUUACAGUUUAUGAGUGGGAUAAUUUAAAACCUGCAACCUUAUAUACUUUUGAAUUUGAACUUAAACAGUUGCAUUUGGAUUUUAUAAAUACAUUUCAGAGACUGGAUGUUCAAGUAGAAACAGGCUCAUGUUCACCAGGAUGGAUAGCAUUGAGAAAUAGCUGUUACAAAAUUAGCAAAGAGAGUAAGCCAUGGAAUAUAGCCCAGCGACACUGUAGAUUAUCCUUAAGUUCUGCACACCUUGUGGAUAUAAAAAAUGAAGAGGAAAAAAAAUUUGUAUCUUUACUUCUCAGGUCAAAGAAUCAAAUAAUAAUAUGGACUGGUCUUAAUGAUUUGAAGAAAGAAGGUCAUCUCACGUGGACAGAUGGAUCAUCUUUUGGCCUUAAGAAGAAUGAAAUCUUUUCUUUUCCACUGCUACCCAAGAAUGAAACAGAUUGCUAUGUUUUACAGCAAAAUGCAACUGGAUCAAACUAUUUCUUCACAAGAUUUUUCUGUUAUGUUCCAUUGCCGUAUAUUUGCAGAUAUGACUCACCUUCUCUGCAGGAAAACCUUUUGAUCUAUAUAAAGGAUGUUGGAACAACUGAAGUUGUAUUUGGUUGGCAUAAUUUGAAUGCUUGGAAUAAUUUGAAUAAGUGGCUAAAACUGGGAUAUAAAAUUAUCAUUAAAUAUUAUUUAGAUUAUACAGAAGAAAAAUAUUUUGAAAGCAUAUCCCCAAAUUCUACGGAAAAAAGAAUUACCCAGUUGUUUCCUGGCCAUACUUACAGAUUUUUAUUCUUUGCAAUAAACGAAUGGGAGGCAAAAACUAUGUUAAGUUCAGUGUUCAUUGUUGAAACACGCCCGUUAUCAGCUCAAAAUAUCACAGUUACACAUGUGACCCCAACAGAAAUAUUUUUACACUGGAAUCCUCCAGAUCUUGCAUCUUUUCACCAUUAUCUUGUGACUAUUUUGAAUGUGGAAAACAAUAAAUCAGAAGAGAUGUUUGUUGAAAAACUCAACACAUCAGUGAAAAUCGGAGAUCUCAAACCUUUCCAUCAUUAUCUGAUAUAUUUAUUCAGUGUAGGGGAAAGAGGAACUUUAGGAUGCUCUGAGAGACCUAUUUCAGCCAUUACAGGUAUUAAUCCUCCUCAGAAAGUUCAUGCUAACCCUGAAGAUGUAGGAGAGGACAGUAUAAUUCUUCAGUGGGAAUCCCCACAAGAUGGCCACGAGGUCUAUAUUCAAAUCAGACCUGUAUCGGAUACAAGAGAAGUCAUGAAGCUUUUUGUAAAGGAGGCUAAUAGAUUCAAGUUUGAUAAUUUAACCCCUGGAAUGACAUAUGACAUUGGAAUGGCAACAGUGAUGAAUGGGAACUUGAGUGAGCUGGUAACUAUUCAACAAACUCUAAAGCCCAAGCCAGUCCAGAUUGUCAUCCCAUAUGAAAGUCAUAGCACCUCUGUAAUCUUAUUUGUUCAAAUGCCUGAUAUUGGAGUGUUUGAUGGCAUACAUAUUGCAAUCGAAGGAGGGCCAAAUGUAACUAAGCCCUUGAAACAUGACAAUAAAAUAACUGUUGGCAAUUUAACCCCAGGCACGGAGUAUAAUUUCUUUGUUUCCAUCACCAGUGGGACUAAAUUAAGUAAUAUGUAUUACGUGCCUGCAGUAAAAACAUGUCUGGAAGCACCAUCAAAUAUCCAUGAGGGCAAAGUAACAGACUCUUCCAUAGAAAUUCUCUGGAAUCGAGCUGAUGGGAAUUUUCAGCAUUAUGAAAUCACAUGCAUGAACUGUACUGCUGCUUUCAUGGUAUGUUACAAGCGGCUCUUGGAAGCAUUAAACUUGAAUCUUUCAUGCUGA
rnacentral:lncRNA from 12 species